AUUUGGGUCAUUAAUAUUUUACAGUUCAAACAGUACACAUCUCUACAUUAUAUUUGUGCAUAUUUGUGAUUGUUUUCAGGCAUGUGCCAGUAUUUUUUGUAGUAAACCAUAAGGUGCAUCGGCUGUGUGGAGCUUUGUAAGUAUCCGGCUUGAAAAUAGCCACAAGAUCUAAAAAAAACCACGAGCUGUUUGCAUAAAGGAAAGGUGCUUGUUUCCGUGAAGAAGUUAACAUAAAGUAACUACAGUCUCUUAUCAAGAUGUGCUAUCCGUGCUACUCGUGUUGCAGCCCAUGCUGCACACCUUGUUGCAGCCCCUGCUGCUACUCCUCUUGCUGUUCACCAUGUUGUGGACCAUGUGGAUAUUGCUGUAGUGGCUGCGGACCUUGCUGUGGCGGCUGUGGACCUUGUUGUUAACUCAAUCUUCAGAACGAAAUGAAGUGCUACUGCAGUACUAAAAUAUGCCGACAUAUAAAUUAAAACAUGUAGAUUUUAAUAAA